ensembl:ncRNA C17H12.32 ncRNA
UUGAACCAAUUGAAGAGACGCAGUGCUAGGAAGGGAAUGCGCCCUGGCGCCACAUAUGGUCUAAGUCUCUCUGAAUCGUGUGCUCUCUACAUUGGGUCGACUCUGCGAGUGCUUUUGAGCGGCGCCGAGACCGAAAUAAGA